GCCCGCCUAGCUCAAUCGGAUAGAGCGUCAGACUCUUAAUCCGGAUAGCGGACCAAGAAAUCUGAAGGCUGCGAGUUCGACCCUCGCGGUGGGCU
rfam:Agaricus bisporus var. burnettii JB137-S8 unplaced genomic scaffold AGABI1scaffold_12, whole genome shotgun sequence.